UAGCAAUGCAAAUAUUGGGCUCAAUUGUGGUUGUAAGUCAAGGAUUACCUGUAAUGUAUUUAAUCUUGCUUUUUAUUGUGCUGUUUAAUCAGUUGUCAAAAAACCCCAAUACUUUUCCUUGUUAGCUUUUUCAAAAGAUUAACACAACUGAUAUUGUGCUCAGUUGGUUUCAAAAUAUAGGUUGAUCAAAUCAGUGUCAUCAGCCAGACCCUCUGGACACCAACCUUGAGGCAGAAGGUCCCAGGCAUGUUUCCAGAUCUGGCUCAGAUAGCAAAAUGUGUCAUGUUGAGAAAGUUGGCAGUCCUAUCUAUCAUCUAGUUUACUUUCCAAUUGUUCAUAAUUUGGCUUUGGUCAUCAAUAAUGGAGUAUAUUGCAGGGUAAAUAUUUAUGGGAUGAACUUUUCAGCAUGUGAAUGUAGCUAUUGCCUAUUUAAUUCAAGUUACAAUUCUGUCAUUGUCAUUUAAAUGUGCUACAUAAAUGAUUUGCUCUUGGAGACUAAAAUCUGUAGGGCCUCAUCAGCAUAAAUAUGUAUCACUAUUGUGCCUAUUAGUUUUUUUAAGUGAACAUUUUUUCCUUUUAAAAAAGCGGUUCUUGUGAUCUGCAGUUUUUUAUAUCUGCAAGUAACAAUUAGAGAUCAGAUUUUAAUAGUUGCAGAAGGUUUUUGCAUAUCUAGUUUUUGCCAUGUCUGGUUACUUUAUGCAUGUACUUAAAUGAAGGGUGGACUUUGCACAUGCCUAAAGUAUGUUUAUUUAAGGUUAGAGUUAGGUCAUCUGUGCAAAAUACCUGUAUUUGUUUUUUUUCUCCUUGAUAAGACAUGAUGGAUUUUGACAGAUCAUCUCAGCCAUGAAGCUUCAUGUGGUUCUCUGCAGCAAAUGGCUUCUGGAGCAAUUCACUUGGCUGCUGAUGGAGAUGCCACAUGGUUCUCCACUUUGCAUGAUGUUUUUACAGUCUCAAUGGAGAGGCCUCUCCAUUGUUUCACCAGAGAUCAGUGUUGUCUGCAGACUUCUUGCAACAUCUAUAAAUUGCAUCAUUAGUUGCUGGUGCUGCCCACCAACCAUUCAUUUGCUAUUAGUUUGCUUGAGGAAGACACAGGAGCCAUGGUGAGGAGCUCAUGACUGGGUGGACUCAGUGAAAUUUGUUAGGACUGAGCAAGGACCAAAGGAACACAUACAAAUACAUUACAUAGACGACUGUUAGAGGAGGAAGAGUGGAUAUACUCAUGGGAGGAAGAGAUGACCAUAGAGUCUAGAAUCCUUCCCUAUACCUGCCCAAAUUCCCGCAGAGUUCAGAUCUCAUUCUGUGAUUUCCUUGUCCGCAAUUCUAUACCAGAAUGGAGAUGGCCCUUGUCUUGAGAAUAAGACAAGCCCAUUUCAU